AUUGAACGCUGGCGGCAGGCCUAACACAUGCAAGUCGAACGAGUGGCGGACGGGUGAGUAAUGUCUGGGAAACUGCCCGAUGGAGGGGGGUAACUACUGGAAACGGUAGCUAAUACCGCAUACCAUCGGAUGUGCCCAGAUGGGAUUAGCUCGUAGGUGGGGUAACGGCUCACCUAGGCGACGCUCCCUAGCUGGUCUGAGAGGAUGACCAGCCACAAUGGAACUGAGAAACGGUCCAGAAUCCUACGGGAGGCAGCAGUGGGGAAUAUUGCACAAUGGGCGCAAGCCUGAUGCAGCCAUGCAGCGUGUGUGAAGAAGGCAUUCGGGUUGUAAAGCACGUUCAGCGGGGAGGCGUUACCCGCAGAAGAAGCAACGGCUAACUCCGUGCCAGCAGCCGCGGUAAUUC
rnacentral:rRNA from 1 species